rnacentral:rRNA from 1 species
AUACGGGGGUUGCAAGCGUUAUUCGGAUUUAUUGGGCGUAAAGGGCGCGUAGGCGGCUUGGUAAGUCAGAUGUGAAAGCCCGGGGCUCAACCCCGGAAGUGCAUUUGAAACUAUCAGGCUUGAGUAUGGGAGAGGGAAGUGGAAUUCCUGGUGUAGAGGUGAAAUUCGUAGAUAUCAGGAGGAACACCGGUGGCGAAGGCGACUUCCUGGACCAAUACUGACGCUGAGGCGCGAAGGCGUGGGGAGCAAACAGGAUUAGAUACCCUUGUAGUCC